rnacentral:lncRNA from 1 species
GUCCCGGCUGGCUUCUGAAUCCUGGGAGCAUUCUUUUUUAUAAAGGGAGUCAGACACCGUGAACUCUCGCCAGAAAAACUUCUGGCUAAAAAUGAUCCACAAAAGGAAAAUGAGUUGGUUUUUAACUGGAUGAAAACAAACACAAACUCACUUUACUUUUGGAUCCUUUUUGCUGCGUUACAAACCACCUCAAAGUGCUGAGAACCAGGUAGAAGAAUGGAGGAGGAAGGGUUCUCCUGGCAGAGAGAGCGGCAGGCUGGAGUGCAGUGGCGCGAUCUCGGCUCACUGCAACCUCCGCCUCCCAGGUUCAAGUGAUUCUCCUGCCUCAGCAUCUAGAGCAGCUGGGAUUACAGCCUAUAGGGAUAUAAUGAUACAGCAUUAAAGCCGGGGCCUUCUUCAAAUUGCCUUGCCUGGCGAGAGUUGCUGUAUGAGGACAAAGUCUGAUUUCAGGAAGAGUCGACCUCUCCUCUGCCUUUGACAUCUUGCUUCCCUAGAUGAAGAAAGCUCCACAGCAGGUCAGGGGAAGUAUAGGGUAGACCCAGAAUGAGAAGUUUUUUGGUUUAUUAUUAUUACUGUUUUAUUUUUUGUUGUUCAUUUGUUUUGAGACGGAGUCUCACUGUAUUGCCCAGGCUGGAGUGCAGUGGUGCGAUCUUGGCUCACUGUAAGCUCUGCCUCCCGGGUUCACGCCAUUUUCCUGCCUCAGCCUCCU